GUUUGUUUGGAGUUAUAAAGAAUUUAACCUGCCCCCUGAUUAAUUAUUAUUAAAGGGCCGCAGUAUUAUAACUGUGCAAAGGUAGCAUAAUCAUUAGGUUUUUAAUUGAAAUCUCGUAUGAAUGGUUGGACAAAAGAAAGACUCUCUUUAUAUUAAGUUUUGAAUUUAACUUUUAAGUGAAAAGGCUUAAAUAUUCUAAAGGGACGAUAAGACCCUAUAAAACUUUACAUUGUCAUUAAUUUUGAUUGAAUUUAUGAAAUAAAAAUUUUAUUUGAUUAUUUGUUAUGUUGGGGAGACAUAAGUAAAAUAUUUUUUUAACUGCUUGAUAGUUAUACAAUUAUUAGUGAAUAAUAAGUAGAAGAUCCUUUUUAAGAUUAGUAGAUUAAGUUACUUUAGGGAUAACAGUGUAAUUUCUUUUGAGAGUUCUUAUCGAAAAAGAAGGUUGCAACCUCGAUGUUGAAUUAAAAUAUCUAUAUAAUGGAGAGGUUAUAUAAGAAGGUCUGUUCGACCUUGAAAAUUUUACAUGAUUUGAGUUCAAACCGGUGUGAG
rnacentral:rRNA from 1 species